rnacentral:rRNA from 1 species
AUUGAACGCUGGCGGCAUGCUUUACACAUGCAAGUCGAACGGUAACAGGCCGCAAGGUGCUGACGAGUGGCGAACGGGUGAGUAAUGCAUCGGAACGUGCCCAGUCGUGGGGGAUAACUGCUCGAAAGAGCAGCUAAUACCGCAUACGAUCUAUGGAUGAAAGCGGGGGACCGUAAGGCCUCGCGCGAUUGGAGCGGCCGAUGUCAGAUUAGGUAGUUGGUGGGGUAAAGGCUCACCAAGCCAACGAUCUGUAGCUGGUCUGAGAGGACGACCAGCCACACUGGGACUGAGACACGGCCCAGACUCCUACGGGAGGCAGCAGUGGGGAAUUUUGGACAAUGGGGGCAACCCUGAUCCAGCAAUGCCGCGUGCAGGAAGAAGGCCUUCGGGUUGUAAACUGCUUUUGUACGGAACGAAACGGUCUGGGUUAAUACCCUGGGCUAAUGACGGUACUGUAAGAAUAAGCACCAGCUAACUACGUGCCAGCCGCUGCGGUAAAAC